AGCUUUGUGAGUGGCAGUAUCAUAGCCGAUGAGGUUUAUCUGAGGUGCACUAUUAUUGUUAAUUGAAAAUUUUUCCCUAAAUGUUUAUUCUAUUUUACAAUAAAAAGAUCAAUCUGAAUUACAGAAUGUUUUCCAAAA